rfam:Ciona savignyi cont_37024, whole genome shotgun sequence.
GCCCGGUUCGUUCAGCCGGUAGCACGUUAGACUUUUAAUCCAACGAUCAAGGGUUCAAGUCCCUUAACGGGCU